CUAAAAAAUAUAAUCACCCAAUGGACCAAAAUAAGGCUUCCAAUCAUGCUACCCACGUCGAUAUCCCAUGAUUACAUACAACCAUACACUUCUCUAUCCUCACCCCUACCUCUACCCUUACCCCAACCCCAACCCCACCCCACUCCACCCAACCUCCAUUUUCAUCUUCAUCUCCCUUUCAUUAGCAUACAUCAACCCCUCUCACAUCAUGUCUCCUUCAAUUCCCACCAUUAACAUGUCCGACAUCCAGUCUCCAACAUCUUCUUUCAAAGUUCAGUUGGUUUCAAGAUCUGUAUCCGAGAGGCUUCUUGUGAAAUUUGCAGAUGUAUCGGAGUUCGGAUUUGAUUACUCCCAAAGCGGCCUCUGGUCUCCUCCACUUCACCGGACUGUGUUCCUUAGUUCACCUGGGGAAAUCUUGACACCAGAUGAAAUGCUGCAGAAGUUAGAAUCUAUGGCAAGACACCGGAGAAGAUACACAUAUUGUCUCAACGUAUGAUAUAUAUACACAUGCUGGGCACUUUUGUGCUCUCCUAAAAGAUGAACUGCGUUGCACUUGCAUUAUUUUAACCAAAUAGUUCUUAUGUGGAUUAUUAUUUUAUGUUUUAAUUUUUUUUUUCCGGGCAAAAAAAAGAAGGUUUUGCUACGAUUGUAAAUGUUAGAUUAAACAUUAUAUGUAAUUUUUCAUUAUAUUUCACAUGUUUGCAUGUGAUUGUGCUA